UUGCAGUUCCACUCUAGUUCCACUAGAGGGCGCUCACAAGCCAGCGCAGAAUGAAUGGGACUCUAUGGAGCUAUACCCCU